CUUCAAACCAAGCUGCUUACCUAUUGCAGAUUCAGUCUUCCCAGCCUGGUUCAGGUAUACAAUUUUGUUUCUGGUGUCCUUUUGACAGCUCUUUGGGUAUCAAUAACUAGGUGCUUAUUUUGAUAUCUAGUUAUGACUGAAUCAGAAAUACAGAUGUGGAGUAGAUGUCGAGUUUGUUUUAAAUUAUCAUAAAAAAUCUGAACUAAUCUAACAACACUUGUUGCUAUUUGUACUUGUUGAUAUAAUAUUCUUAUUUAAUGGAGAGGGAAAAAAAACGUUUCCCUAAACUGCUUAAUAAUAUUAUAAUUCAAUGAAGGAAUAAAAAAGUUUCCUCCCUCCAGACAGCAGAUGGCAAUAUGUGUCUUUCAGGCGAUGUUUCUAGUGUGACGCAUAAUCUAGUGGACGGAACGCUUCUUCGCAACUGCAGCCACCUCGGUAGCUCGCUAGACAACAGUCAGAACAUUCAAGUUCUUUAGACAAUUUCGUGGUUUAAUUGCCUCUAUGAUUGAAACAUACUCAUGUGGGAACAACUAGAUACCCCAUUUAAUUUAAUAUUUACGUUGUAAGUCAACUAGCUGGCUGGUUUAGUUAGCACUAGUCUAGUCGCUAAUGCUAACUAGCCAUUAUCCCCGAACAUGAGUUCACCAAGCUACUCUCCUCCUGAUAAAGAAGAGGGGGUCUGCUGGACGGAGAAAGGAACUCGUGAAAGAGGAGGCGGAAGAGGAGGCUGUUACAAUACACAAACAAGUAGAGGGUGAGGGUGUUACCGUGAAAGAAGAAGAGAAAGACGCGUUCAGAGUGAAAGAGGAGGAGGAUGUUACUGUGAAAGAAGAGGAGUAAGAUGCAGUUUUUAGAGUGGAGGAUGAAGUGAAAGAAGAUGAAGACGUUUUUGGAAUGAAGGAUGAAGAGGGUGAGAUUACUGUCACAUUAGAGGAGGACGAAGUAGAGUUGACUGGAGAACUUAUUAACACCAGUAAAUACAGAGAGAGAUGUGAAUAUCGUGGAUCCUCUGAGGAGCCUCAAAAACUUAAUGAUGCUGACGAGGCAGAAGUCUCUCUCCAGAUCAGGACACCUCGAAACACCAGCAGAGACCCACAGGAAAGAAACCACACUGCUGCUCUGACUGUGGGAAACGUUGCAAAUCUUCAUCAGAACUUAAAAAUCACCAGCGUGUACACACAGGAGAGAAACCUUAUAGCUGUAGUCAGUGUGGGAAGAGUUUUACUCAGCUAAACAGCCUGAAAGAACACCAGAGAACACACACAGGAGAGAAAUCUCAUAGCGGUGAUCAAUGUGGGAAGAGAUACUCUGGUAAAAGAUAUCUGAUCAAACAUCAGAAAAAACAUACAUGAAGGAGUUGAAUUUGAAAAAUCAUAUCAAUUACAUAAUGUCACAAUGUAGAAUGUUUUAACAUUUUAGUAGGAGUAUUUUAAUGAUGUCACAAUGUAGAACCCUAAAUGUUUGUCCUCUGUUCUAUUGGUUUCAACAUUAUAUGGAUAUUUGCCUGAGGGAAAAUCCAGGCUCUGAAUUGAAAGAGUACUAUUUAUGUUAUCUAACAAAAAGUGACAAACAAAAAAAUAGUUGUGUUAAACUUAUCACGUUGGUGACCCACUUGAAUCAAAAUGCAACACUUCAAAAUGUAGCUAGCUGUUUUCUACAAAUUGUCCUCUAACCAAUGAUGUACACAUUAUUCCCAGAUUCCGUGUGGUUUUUGAGCUGUUAGUUUUAACAGGACGUGCAAACUCAUUUCCCUUCUGUCACACAAAUGAUUUUAGCAUGAUAUCGAUGAGUUAUGACAAAUAAGUGUUGUGUUCCUUUGUUCAACGUCCCCUACAUUUAAAUGUAUCACGCCCAAAUGCAGCUGACUGUCCUCUGCAGGUUGUCCUCUAACCAGUGAGGGAAAAUAUUUAUCCCGUUUCCAUGUUUUGUUUAGAUUGUUAGUUUCAACAGCACGUACAACCCGAUUUCCCCCCUAAUCAAUAUCAGUGAUUUAUUGCUACUUGUCAACAACAGUGUUUUUGGUGCUUGUACAGUUUAUACGGUGCUUGUUUAAAAAAAAAAAUACAAGUAAUAUGAAUAUUGUGGCAGAUGUUUGUGUAUACAGUAUGGCCCAUUUUACGUUUAGGUUUUCAAUAUAUCACAAACUGUUUCUGCAUAUUGGUUGUUGAUUUGUACAUGUUAAAAUUGUGUGUUGACAUUGGGUUAUCCCACCUAGCAAAAUGUAAUUAAAAAAUACUUUGAAAAAAGGA